rnacentral:snRNA from 1 species
UCGCUUUGGCAACAAAUAUACAAAAUUUGGAACGAAAAAGAGAUUAGUUUGUCUCUCGCCCUAGGUUAAAAUAAAAACUUGGGAGGGGUUCCUUAUUUCU